GUUCCAGAAAGAGCUCUUAAAGGGUCUCUGUCACACACAGAUCACAACCAAUCUGCCCAUCAUAGCUUUGCGGCCAGCAGCAUUUCAUCUUCCCUCCAGCUGUUCUCUUCCUCCCUGGAUCUUCUUUGCAAGGCCAUGGGGUCCAUGCCCCCCAACCAUGACUCCCUCCACCAUGCUGACCCCCGGCCAGGAUGUCCUGACCCCAGCUGAGAUGCCCAGACACCAGCAGAGAUGCCCUGACCCUCGCCCGCCAUUUCAGCUGUUGCUUUCUCAGCCAAGUCUCAAUCUUUGGAUGAACAGACAUUGAGUCCUUCCAGGGUUUCGCAGGAGACUGGAAUAAGAUCGGAAUAAUUCCAACAGAUGCUCCAACCAUCCCUCAUGGACCACACGCACUCUUGGAUGCUGAAGAGCAGGCUGGGGUCUGGGGCAGCCUUUAGGGGCUCUUGGGACCCCAAAGGUGUCCAGCUUGGAUGUCUCCAGCAGAUCUUUCUGGAAAUCUGGGACACCAAGGAGGAGCACAAAUGCUGGUCUUACUACUAAGCAAUAUGUCCCUCGGAUCCAAAGGAGAGCAGGUGACCUGGGUGCAGCCACAGCCAGCUGCCACCUCCCUGGAGUCCCUCAUGAAGCAAUGCAUUCAGGGCAGAAUCCAUUGCUGCCUCAGCCCCCUUCAAAGACCAGGCCCAACACCGCACCAGCUCCUUGGACACUGCCCAUCUUCCCAGGGAGAGUCUCGUGCUCAGAGAGGCUAUAAAUAUACGCCGGACAGUCAAGAGUUUCCGUCGCCAACAGAAGAGCUGAGCAAAAGGUGAAAUAAACAUCCCGUGGCUGCAAAUUAAUUGAUUUUUAUCUUGCCUGAAUUGCUAUUUAAAACUGGUCUGGUGAUUGUGGGGAGUUUCUGAAGGACUCAGCAGGACAGAUGAGGCACACGGGACGUUUUCUGGGCCCCUGCGCAGCUGCGGUGCUUGACUGGGGUAGCUCAGGCUCCGUGAGGAUCUGGACUUCAGACUUGGCCCAGCUGGGUGGCUAAGGACAUGCUACCUCACUUCUCCAAGUCUCAGUUUCCCCACUGUAAAAUAAUAUAAACCUAUCCAGAAUCCACCAGGUUCUGGGGAGAUUUAGGCAAGGAUGUGGGUACCCCCGGAACACUGCCAAGGGCUUUACCUCUGCAAAAGGCUGGGGGUUAUCAGCUGGUGAGGUCUGAACUCAUGGAAUUUUCCUCUCAGUGCAUUUUCUCAUCAGACAUAUUGGGAGGAUAAUGGUCAUUACCUCAGAGACUCGUAAGGAUUAAAUGAGUUAAAUAUGGAAAUGUUUGAAACAGAGUAAAAGCUAAAAAAGUGUUAGUCACCACCG
rnacentral:lncRNA from 10 species